rnacentral:lncRNA from 1 species
UCAUAAGUUAUCAAAUUAAUUGAUAUACAAAUUGUAGGCCGCAUUACAGUUUAAUUUACAAAUAAUACAAUUUUUAGAUCAAAUUUAUUUUUUGGUCACAAUUAUCCAAUAAUUAGAUACAAUCACCUUUCAUCCCACCGACCACCACAAAUUUCCAUCAUCAUAACUACCCCAACUAUCCUAACCUGCUUUGUUCUAAAAACUCCAUUAAAAAGAAGUCCUGAUUGCGUGUUCAUUUCUUGCUCCAUUAUAUAUAAUCAGCAAAGUUAUACUCAAAAUCGAGAAUAACAUAUCAUUAAUUUCUCAUCCCAACUCCCAUUUUGUCAUUUCGUGGUAUUGAAGAAUGCAUUAGCCAUCAUCUUUACAAGCUAAACUUGAGAAGCAGUUGUGAGAUGUAGCCAUCCAAGUUGAAGUCCAAAGGCAUCAACUGUUACCACACUCUCCAGUGCCUUUUGAAUUGAUGAAUUGAUUUUACUCUGUGGAUAUAAUUCUUCACCCCUUGUCCCGAUGCUAAUGUUACCUUUAUAUGUAUUAAUUAUCAAACACCUACAAUAACAGUUUCUUUGGGGAUUCCAUAAUGCAAAAUAAAUUGAUUAAAUCUGUCAUUUCCGUUGAGGUCCAUUUUUCUUCAAUUAAAUCUCGAACCACGAGUCCAUCAUCACAGAUCGAACAAAGAAACGUCAAGGUCGAGGUGCUUGCCUGAGCGCUCAAAGCACAUGAAAAAGCCGUAGGAGAUGGAAGCCUAUUGCCGUAUUGCAGAUUCUUCUGCAAAUAAUCAACGGAAAUUUUGCUCCUCGACUGCGAUUGGAGCUCUUGCAGCCAAUGUGAAGUCCCCAUUGAUAAUCAGAGAUGAUCGGAUCAAGCGUUGCGUAUGAUAUAAAUUGGGAGAUGAAAGAAUGGAAAAUAUUAAGAUGGUGUUUGGUAGGGAUUAAAAUUAAAUUUUUUAGUAAAUUGUGAUAGAAGUUUUUGAAUAUAUGGUUGAAAAGUUGUGUAAUUCAUAAAAGAUGUGAUUAAUAUUGAUUGUUUGACUUUAACUUAGAUUAAAAUCAGAUUUUAAUCCAAACCAAAC